rnacentral:rRNA from 1 species
AAUUCCAAUCGAACUCGGAGAUAGGUGGUUCACCCCGAAAUAGCUUUAGGGCUAGCCUCGGAAAACAGAGUCGUGGAGGUAGAGCACUGAUUGGGUGCGGGGCCCGCAAGGGUUACCAAGCUCAGUCAAACUCCGAAUGCCAUAGACUUACUUCCGGGAGUCAGACAGUGAGUGCUAAGAUCCAUUGUCAAAAGGGAAACAGCCCAGACCAUCAGCUAAGGUCCCCAAGUGCGUGUUAAGUGGGAAAGGAUGUGGAG